CCUCCCUCAUGUGGUACCCUUCCUGCAGGUUCAAUUGUGCGUCAAUAAUUCAGCAUAGCAAGUUUGUAUGAAGGUCUGGUUAUUAAAUGGGUAAAUAGUUCAAUAGUAAUGUGCUCUAAAACGCUCUGUUGACAAACACACUUUGCUGCCCUGUUUCCAAUUGUCCACAAGGCUGGGUGAACCUAUUCAAGUAAGUCAAUACAUUUUGAAAAUGUAAAAAAACUUUAAUUAGCUAACGUUACAGUACAGGCUAACUCAAAUGAGCUGCUAAAUGAGCUAACUUAGCUAGUUGACUAUCUAGCUAUCUAACCAACUUGACAUACUGUAUAGAUAGAUAGCUAAGUUAAUGAAAUAUCACCAGCUACCUAACUAAAUAUUAGCUAGCUAUCUUGAUGUAAAAAACAAACUCCAAAUGCAUUUGUAGGUAGCUAGCUAACAGCCAUGGAGGAGGGUGUAAGGAUAACAUUAACAUUAGUAGUCCCAACUUUCAAUGUGAGAGAGAAGGCUAUUCUGGAUAGGGUAGGUACUAGUAACAUAAUAAUAAUAACUAGUAACAUAGAUAAUAGUAACAUAAUAUUCAGUGCAGUGUAAUUUGAGUAUAAUGAAGUCUGUUUCUUGUGAGGUUUUCUGUCCUCGGAUAAAGAAGGCUAUGAAAGCCUGUCUACAGAUGAAGAGGUCUCAAUGAAGAGCAGUGGUUCGCAGUCCUGGUCCUGGGGACUCAGAGCUGUGUCGGUGAACACCUCCCACAUCUGAACUGGCUACAAGAGGGCACAGCAUGACCAUAGGUAUGUUUUGAUGUGAGAGAGGACGCCAACCCCCAGUCCCAUCAUCGCCACCUCACCCGCUCUUAAGAUAACCUUCGGGCCGACUGGGAGCCCAAGGCUGGUUAGGAGACACCACUAGAGACACUAUUAUGUAAUUGUGAUGAACUGAGAGAAUAUUAGGGUAGCGCUGUGAUUAAUCAUAUGCUGCCUUUUCUGCUCCUAUGUUCAUACCUCUUUCCCUUUUUUAUACACCUCUCUCGCCACCUCUUUCUUCCUCUGUUUUUAUAAUGCACAACAGAUGUGCAUUGAAGUAAAGUAUGAAUUUAUAACACUUGGAUAAUGAACUUCCAAUAAAGCAUUUCACAUUCUCUACUGGUUGAAAUUAAGUCUCAUUUGAUGAAAUACUACACCUAUCCUGUGUUUAUCAGAUCAAUGCAGAUUAAGGAAAUUAGAUAUCGAAAUG